AUCAAGUGCAACUACUAACACAGUACUGCCAGGUCUACCACUAAACCUGGCCUGUCCAGCCUGCAGCCCUGGACAUCCAUGAACGCAGCCCCGUAAGAUCAUAAACUUUUAACAUGAGCUGCUGGCUCAUGCUAAGCCUAAUAUCAACCAACACUCCCAGCUCUUUUUCUGCUGAGCUGCUCUCCAGCUGUUUAUCUCCCUGCCUGAGCCUGUCUGGCAUUACACCACCCCAGGAGCAGAACUCAGUAUCUUUACUGAAUUUUAUGACAGCGCUCUGUUCUGUAUAGAACCCUCUGCAAGACUUCUUGUCCCCCCAGGGAGUCAACAGCGCCUCUCAGUAUUGUCAACAAACUUUCUGAGGAUGUAUUUCACUCCCUGAGGAUGCUUACACAGCACACCCCUAACCACCACCGCACCAGAACACCAGGAGCAAAGGAAGGAGAAAGACAUCAACAACAAUCCUUCAAACUUGAGAAAAGGCAGAGCAGAGGGGGAUAUUUCCAACAGCCCUUUUUCUCAUUGUUUCAACAAUACAGCCAUCAGGAUCCAUAUGGCUCAGCCCAACCAAUCUGGUCAUCUUCAGCAUGAACCACAGGUUCAGCUAAUGAGAACAGCUCGGAAACACUUGAUUAUGCACAGUUAGACUUUAAGGCAAGACAUCAUUUCAGCCAGACAUUUGGAUUUCUUCACAUAACAGCCAACAAAAGCAUAAGAGCAGAAGCUGAACAGGCCCACUUGAGCUUUGUGUCACAGCUGUAACUUGCUAGCAAGGGUCAUCACUGCCUUUCAUUUCACCCUAGCAAUUAUUACACCACACAGCCCAUGAGUUCUGCAGCUGCUGUGAUCUCGUAGGAAAAAGAAAAGCUCUGAGCACCAGGACAAAGUACAUAGGCUGAUAGAAUGUAGUUAAAAGGUACAAACUGCCAAUACCCUAUUUGCCAGAAAACUCUGCUUUCCCUCGUAACAGCAAAAAACACAGCCCUCUGAUGGCACUGAAAGAAAUGACUCUUCAGUACCAAUGGAAAAUCUAAUACAGUAUAGAAACAGAACCUAGAAAACACUAAUCGUGGUGCCCACUGCAAAAUGCAGUUUUUAGUCGAUCACAUAUUUCCCCAAAAAUAGAGAAAUACCAUUAUCUUCAAUAACAGAAAUCAAAGACGUUACAACACAUUAUCAACUAGCUAUCAACUUCAACAACCUGCUUUUUCAUAACAGAAACCCACACUAGGUUGCUAUAAUAACGUAACUCGAACAAGAGCUUUGCUUUCAAUAUAGGUUUAGCACUGCAGUCACCUGAUGAUAAAAGAUUUUCUCCCACCCUGAAAUUUCAUUGGCCUAUACCAAUCUUCUUGCCACAGUAAUUAAGGUAAAUGCACCUAUUGGGCAUUUUUCCGUAACUCACAGUUAUGUUCUGAACUCAGAGGAUGCAAAAUAUGGAAUUCACACCUUUGGAUGCAAAGUUGUGCUUGGCUUUAACCACAGCAACUCUCUACUUCAGGUCAGGACUCAACUCAGUUUGUUUCUCAGCAUAUAAACUGGCUUAAGUGGACAAGCACUGACAAAGUAACAAAGGACCUACUCUUACUCU
rnacentral:lncRNA from 1 species